GAUAAACGCUGGCGGCGUGCUUUACCAAUGCGAGUCGUGCGGGCCAUCGAAAGAUGGUUAGCGGCGUCCGGGUGCGUAACACGUGGGUGACCUACCUUGAUGUGGGGGAUACCCGCCCGAAAGGGUGGCUAAUACCGCAUGCGUUCUACCCUCCUGGGGAUACGAGCAAAGCCCGGCAAGGGCGCAUUUAGAGGGGCCCGCGGCCUAUCAGCUUGAUGGUGAGGUAAUGGCUCACCAUGGCUUUGACGGGUAGCCGGCCUGAGAGGGCGGUCGGCCACACUGACACUGACAUACGGGUCAGACUCCUACGGGAGGCAGCAGUCGGGGAAUUUUGGGCAAUGGGCGAAAGCCUGACCCAGCAACGCCGCGUGAAGGAUGAAAUCCCUCGGGAU
rnacentral:rRNA from 1 species